AACAAAAAAUAAUACGUUUUGCAAUCUACUUUAAUAUUGUUCCUAGAAAUCCAAUAUCGUAAAAUUUCUUUUGCACAGAAAAUGUACACACGUAAUCAGACAGACUGGGCACUAUUGUAAAACUAUAUAUUAAAAUUUAGCAUACUUUAAAUAAAACAUUAAUAAAAUAUUAUUUAUAUAGUUUAUGCAGAUCUACAAAUUUGAGAACACACACAUCCGUUAAAGAAGAUGAAUGUUUUAUGUAGCCAAUGGUUGAAAAACUACAAUGAGGCUGUACAUACAAUUUUAUACUUUUUGUAUUUUACAAAACACUGUGAUAGUUGUAUUUUGUCAACGGAUUCAACUCUUUCCCUACAAUGAAACAAGGAACUGUAACAUAAGUCUUCUUGAAGAGGAGGACAGAAUUCUCAUGUAUGGCAAAGUGGAUUUCAAUGGAAACAUACUGGCAUCAUCAUUUGUCAACUUUGAAAUCAAAAGAAAAAUUGAUACGAGUUUUCAUUUUAUUAACUUUAUAAAAAUUCCAGAGGACUGUGAGUAUCCCACUGUAGAUUAUUGCCGCUGUUAUAAGACUGAUGACAAAAAAGUUUAUAGACUGUCUUUUAAUAUAACUGCAUAUAACGUAAAUAGUGAGGCAGAUAUAAGAGCAGAGUUGGUUUACAGGGAAACAUCAUUUUUUAGCGAAAUAAGGAAAUUACCUAUAGUUUAUGGUUCUCAAACAGAUAUGGUUGCUGUUUACAUCAAUGAUGAAGUCAUCUCCCCUACACAAUCUAGUGUUACAGUCAAUGACACCCAAGUUAGGAUAUUUUCUAUAUGUCGUGAGGUGAUUGCUCUCCAUUGUGAGCUACAACUGACUAACUUGGAUACUGAAACUUUAUUAAAGUCUAAGAAACAAGUUCUUAUCUACAAUACAGACAUAAAGAACAAAGCAAGAUUUGAUUUGAAAUACAAAAUGUGCAAUAUUCAAAGAAACAUCUCAUUUUCAAUCAUUACGACAAAUCUGGCUUGAUUUCGCAGUGGAACUCAGGAGAAUAUUGUGUACUGCCAAUAUUAACAAUGCUUUGUGUUUCGUUGCUGAUCUUGUACAUGUUAAGAGUGCCAGUACCAUUACAUUUUGUAGAAGCUCAACAGAAAACUGUUCAACCUUUUCCUAUUGAUGCAUGUAUGUCAUUGACCAGCUCUGAAUAUCACAAGGAAGAGUGAUCCCAACAAAAGAUCAGUAGACUAGCAUUUUCCUUGCCUUGGUGGACUUUUUCCUUGUUCACACAAGGGAAAUAAAUAUUACUUGACUGAAGUGGUGGAAGAAGCUCAAUGGACCUCAUUUACUAAUCGUAAACAAACAAUAAUUAGUCAUGUGAUCAAAUUGAUAAAACAACGAAAAAUCUGUCACGUGACAGCCACUCUUAGAUCGUAAUUUGUGUAGAAGAGAUAGAGAACCACGUGGCAAAAUGUUGUUUGUUUACGAUUGGUGAAUGAGGUCCAUUAUUCCACUUUUUGGCUGACGUCCGAAGCUUCAUAAACACAAACAUGAAAUAAAAACAAUAAAUAACUAUACAAUCUUCCAUGGUCAAAGACUCUUCGAAUUAGCUCGCUCUUUUCUUUUAUUAUCUAUAUAUAUAUAUAUAUCAAUGUUUUUUUUUAUUAUUGUUAGUCUAGAUCUAUUACAAAUUUAAUUAGGUUGGUGAUUCAAACUAAUUGAUACAAGUACACUUAAAAUUAGCUUUUUUAAAAGUAUUUUUUCUUAUUUUGUUUUUAGCAUCUAUUUCUUAUUUCAUAUAGGUAAACAGGUAAAGUCAUCACUCUUACAUAACGUCUUCAGCUUCGUAAGGGAGGAAUGUACUAUUUUAAAAAUUAUUUUAAUAGUCUGUAGUAGAUUUAUGUAUUAAAUUUUAUUUUUCGAUUUUAGAAGGAAAAACAGCUUGUGGAUAACAGUAAAAGUGUAUGUAUAUAUCAAGUGAUUACCUAAUCCGCUGAAGCUCUUACCAAGGUCAAUGACCAGUGUGUAAUGUGUAUAUAAAAGGCAUGUAACCCUGAAUUAUGUAAGAGGGGCCAUGUUAUUGAAUUAAGUACUGUUUGGUCAAAUAGCAGAUCUUGUUGUUGAGAACCCUUGCCAUCUAAUGAAUCAUCUAUCCACUGUUAGUGGGUCCAGUGUUAUAGUGUGGAUGUAUUCUAUACUAUGUUUACGUGUCUUUAGGGACUGUUUUGCUUUGAUACCUCUUCAAUACUUAAAAAAAAAGCAAACUACACACUCAAAAAUAAGCGUAGCCAUUUCAAGGGAGUUUUGAGUGUAAACUCCCUCCUCCAGAGGGCUUUUUUUAAAACUUAAAACCCCUCCAGAUGGUUAUGAAGUAAAAUCCCCCUACAGAGAGUUUUGAGGUUGAAAACCUCUCUAUUUAAUAUUAUUCUAAAUUUAAAUUAUAAUUAAAAAAAAACUGCACAUAUUUUUUUUAGUUUAAAACCCUCCAACAGAUUUAGUUGACGAUAAAACUUCCCUUUUCGAUAUAAAAUCUAAAGCAAAUUACCGUCACCUAAUUCCAAGAGCGUAAUCAAGAGAGUUUACAUAUUUCUACCAGCCGAAAUUGAAAAAGCCUAAAUGUAUGGCUCAACAAAGUGGCUAAAAAUAUUUUAGGAGACAGUUAUAGUUAUAUCGGGUCUUACUCAAGGAAAUCAUAUGCCGAAGUGGGAGUCGACCCUUAGUAAGGUUGUGACAGAGCGUCGCAUGAGGUUUAUGGGACAUGAUCUCCGACAAAUGAAUUUUGUGGAAGCAGCUUGCCGCCAAAGGCGCCAAACGGCGCGGGAGGAUCUAAAUAAGUACAAAGAGCAGUUUAAGUUUUUGAAAUACAACUUUUUAAUAGCAGGAUAAUGCACUGUAGAUACCCCCCAGAAUAUGCAUUUUGUUGGCUUUGAAUACCGGAGAUAGUGCUUGGCUACAAUACAUGUCUUUCCAGAGAAUGAAGGGUCAGAAUGUAAAUGAGAUAAAAGUACACAGACACACACAGACACACACACACAAAUCCUGGCUACGCCCAUGCUAGCAGUAAAGGUAUCUGUAUAUAUCAAUACACUGGGGCACUUAGCAAGGUCAAUGACCAUUGUGUAAUGUGUAUAUAAAAGGCAAGUAACCCUGUAACAUGUAGGAAGAGGCCAUGUUAUUGUUUGGUCAAAUAUCAGAUCUUGUUCUUAAAAGCUCUUUCCAUCUAUCCACCUUUAGUGGCGCCAGUGUCAGUGUGGCUUGAAGCUCUGUAUGUUAACUAGGACUGUAUCGUCGACUAGAGUUGGUAUGAUUCAAGACUUGAAGAACUAGAGAUUGUAGCGUGAGAAGCAAUUGAUACAUGUACAGCCGUUUACUUCUAGAAGAGCAUUGAGCUACUAUAACAAUAAUGACAAAUGUUGGGUGUUAAGUAGUGUAUAUAUGUUUAAUGUUAGCGAAAAGGCCUUGGCUAUGUUUUAUCACGCUCACAUCUGCAAUAUUUUAAGUUUCAAUAGCACCGCCUGGUAUGGCAAUCUGAGCAUUAAAAAUAAAAAUAAACUUAAUAAGAAUCCUCAAUGCUGCUGGUAAAAUCAUUGGCAAAAAACAAACCCCAUUUGUGCAGUUGUUUGAGACAAACAUCUAUAAAAAAGCUAACAAGAUCCUCGAAAUAAAGAAUCACCCUUUGUGUCAGGAUUUUGUGAUUUUACCAUCACAAAAGAUAUACAAGACACCGAUAGCAAAGACAAACAGACACAAACACUCUUUUGUUCCCCUGGCAAUCAAAUCAUUAAAUAAGAACAAUCUGAUAUAAACUUUGUCACAUGCAAAUUAUGAGUGAGUCUGGUGUGAAUGUACACUUUGGUUUCUUAUAGUUAUAAUGUUUUUUGUUUGGUGUAAUGCACAAAAUGUAAGACAAAUUUCAAUACGGACAAUAAAGAUUAUUAUUAUUA